GACGAACGCUGGCGGCGUGCUUAACACAUGCAAGUGGAGCGACGAACCGGGGCUUGCCCCGGGGCAGAGCCGCGAACGGGUGAGUAACACGUGGGUAACCCACCUCGAUGACCGGGACAACCCGAGGAAACUCGGGCUAAUACCGGAUGUGACCAGUCUUCAUAAGGAGACUGAGGAAAGAUAGCUUCGGCCUUCGCAUCGAGACGGGCCCGCGGCCCAUUAGCUUGUUGGUGGGGUAAUGGCCUACCAAGGCUUCGAUGGGUAGCUGGUCUGAGAGGACGAUCAGCCACACUGGGACUGAGACACGGCCCAGACUCCUACGGGAGGCAGCAGUGGGGAAUCUUGCACAAUGCGCGAAAGCGUGAUGCAGCAACGCCGCGUGGGGGAAGACGGCCUUCGGGUUGUAAACCCCUUUCAGUUGGGACGAAGCUUCGCCGGUUAAUAGCCGGCCGGAGUGACGGUACCUUCAGAAGAAGCCCCGGCUAACUACGUGCCAGCCGCCGCCGUA
rnacentral:rRNA from 1 species